GACGAACCGUGCGAACGUUGUUCGGAUUCACUGGGCUUAAAGGGCGCGUAGGCGGGUGCUCAAGUCCGGGGUGAAAUCCUCCAGCUCAACUGGAGAAUAGCCUUGGAUACUGGGCACCUCGAGUGAGGUAGGGGCGGGCGGAACUUCCGGUGGAGCGGUGAAAUGCGUAGAUAUCACUAGGAACGCCGGUGGCGAAAGCGACCGACUGGACCUCUUCUGACGCUGAGGCGCGAAAGCCAGGGGAGCGAACGGG
rnacentral:rRNA from 1 species